AAAAGGGGCCCAGUGGUCAGCCUGGACAGUAUCCUGGACCCUCUGCGGAUUCUCUGGCUGCGUCACCCCAUCCCUCAGCAUGAGAGUCCUCGCUCUGCUGUUCCUGGCCGCUCUGGCCGGGACCCUGGUUCUGGCUGACGAUGACCCCUCCGAACGCAAAGAGCAUGUCUCCCUGGACACUUUGAUUUCUCAGCUGGAAGAGAAGACCAUGAC